rnacentral:misc_RNA from 1 species
AGAAAAAACUAUCAUUUUGAUUUAAAAACAUAUAUAGUAUUUUAGAGCCGAAGAUUCUGUUUUCUGUGCUCCUAUUCUGUUUUUAAAUCAUUUGAUAUUGUUUUUAAUGUUUCGUGCUCAAAUUCAAUCCACUUUUUUAUUGUUUUUAAUAUUAAACUACUUUUAUUUUUUUUUAUGUUAUUCUUGACAAAACUAAGAAACAAA